rnacentral:misc_RNA from 1 species
CGGCGGCCCCGAGCCGAGGAGGCGGCCAGCGAGAGACCAGAGGCUACCGCCCGCCGCCGCCGAGGAGGGCAGCGGGCCCGCGCGCGCGCGCGCGCACGUACGCACGCACGCGGGGGCGGGUGCAGGCGCGCGCCCGCCUGUCGCGACAGUCGGGGCCGAGGCCCAGGGGGAGGUGGCCUGUCGCGGGUCGCCCGGCUCCCGGAGGCGAGGGGGCCUCGGGCGGAUGGCGGAAGGUGCCCAGCCGCAGCAGCCGCCUCAGCUUGGGCCCGGCGCCGCUGCCCGGGGGAUGAAGCGGGAGUCAGAGCUGGAGCUGCCGGUGCCCGGAGGGGGAGGAGACGGAGCCGAGCCCGGCCUGAGCAAGCGGCCGCGUACGGAGGAGGCGGCGGCCGACGGCGGCGGGAUGCAGAACGAGCCUCUGACCCCAGGUUAUCAUGGAUUCCCAACACGGGACAGCCAGGGUAACCAGGAGCCAACAACAACUCCUGAUGCAAUGGUUCAGCCUUUUACUACCAUCCCGUUUCCACCACCUCCACAGAAUGGAAUUCCCACAGAGUAUGGAGUGCCACACACUCAGGACUAUGCCGGCCAGACCAGUGAGCAUAACCUGACACUCUACGGAAGCACGCAAGCCCACGGGGAGCAGAGCAGCAACUCACCCAGCACACAGAACGGAUCUCUGACGCAGACAGAAGGAGGUGCACAGACAGACGGCCAGCAGUCACAGACACAAAGUAGUGAAAAUUCAGAGAGUAAAUCUACCCCUAAACGACUGCAUGUCUCUAAUAUUCCUUUCCGCUUCCGGGACCCUGACCUCCGGCAGAUGUUUGGGCAGUUUGGCAAAAUCCUAGAUGUAGAAAUAAUCUUUAAUGAACGUGGCUCUAAGGGAUUCGGGUUCGUAACUUUCGAGAAUAGUGCUGAUGCAGACAGGGCCAGGGAGAAAUUACACGGCACCGUGGUAGAGGGCCGUAAAAUCGAGGUGAAUAAUGCUACAGCACGUGUAAUGACCAAUAAGAAGAUGGUCACACCAUAUGCAAAUGGUUGGAAAUUAAGCCCAGUAGUUGGAGCUGUAUAUGGCCCUGAGUUGUAUGCAGCAUCCAGCUUCCAAGCAGAUGUGUCCCUAGGCAACGACGCAGCCGUGCCCCUGUCAGGAAGAGGGGGCAUCAACACUUACAUUCCUUUAAUCAGUCUCCCUUUAGUUCCUGGCUUCCCUUACCCAACUGCAGCCACCACGGCGGCCGCUUUCAGAGGAGCCCACCUGAGGGGCAGAGGGCGGACGGUAUAUGGCGCAGUCCGAGCGGUACCUCCAGCAGCCAUUCCCGCCUAUCCAGGUGUGGUUUACCAGGACGGAUUUUACGGUGCUGACCUCUAUGGUGGGUACGCAGCCUACAGAUAUGCACAGCCCGCCACUGCGACCGCAGCCACCGCCGCUGCCGCCGCUGCAGCCGCUUACAGCGACGGUUAUGGCAGGGUGUACACCGCCGACCCCUACCAUGCCCUUGCCCCUGCCGCUAGUUACGGAGUUGGCGCUGUGGCGAGUUUAUACCGAGGUGGCUACAGCCGAUUUGCCCCCUACUGAAGUGACGUGAGACCCCUGCAAGUGGGACAGCCCCCCAGUUCAUGAGGCCUGGCUAUUGCAAUAUUUACUAGUAGAGGAACUCUAUAGCAAGAUGAAGAGGAAAAACAAACAAACAAACAAAAAAAAAACACAAAAAAAGAGAGAAUACUUUUUUAUACCUCACUAUGUUCUUUGAAUAUGUAUUUUUCCUUUAAAUUUCUGCCUUUAAUUCUUUUGUUCCAAAGAUUGUGCAUUUUUUUCUUUUUUUUUUUUUCUUUUUUUUUUUAACUGUGGUAAAAAAAAAAAAAUGCAUUUCCAUGUCUGUAUGUCCGUGCUUAGCUUAUUCUAUCAGUCACGGAAGAGGCAGUUAAUGAGGAAGGAGAGACAUUAGGAGCUGAUAAAUGCAUCUGAUCAGAAAUCAGCAGACAGGAUUACCAAAGUGAAUCUGGUGCUGACUGGCUGGGGGACAAGCAGAAGUAGAAGAGACCUCUCUGCAACAGGAUAUCCUUCUAGUCUUCUGAGUUUCUGGUCUUUGGCAGGUCAUUCUGAUUGGCUGUGGCUGGAAUCCACAUGCUAAUAGAUGAUAGGAAUGUGUGCUUGCAAAGCAGGAGAAUCACAAAGACACUUUCCUCUCCUCUUCCCUCCUGUCUUCUCCAUUCUUUUUAUAAUCAUCUUAACAUGCACAGCCUGAGAUAGUUGGCAUGGUUUUUGGAAUUAUAGUAUUAAUAUUUCCAAACAUGCGCUCAGACUGUGGAUAAUAAACACCUCAUUAGGCAUCCGGUCUCCAAAUGAACUCUGGAGUCUGAGAAAGAUCAUUCUUUUCUUUGCUGUAAACCCUAGCGUUCCUGCUGGGCUUCUUCCCUUUCUUUGAACCACCGCUUAGCUCAUCUCUCCGUUUUCUAACACCCUGCUCCCAUGUCCUCAAGAUUCAAGAAUUUAGGACCCAGGGAUAGAAGAAUAAAUAGCCAGUGGCCAAAUUUCCCCAGAGGUCUGGGCAUGGCUUGCAGGCUAGAAGUCCAAAUUGUCAAGUGCCACUGAAGAGGAUGAGGGCAAGAAAAAGGAUGUUAGAUGAUGUCUGACAAGGUGCCCUGAUAUUCCCAGUCUUUCUCUUGCAUCAGAAAGUCAGCACAGAGUGUAAAACAUGUAACAUAGGCUCUGUUGGCAAAAGAUAAAGCACCGAGCCCUAGAUCAACUGUCCCUGGAGGUUUGGUGAGCAGGGCGUAUAAGGGCAGGCAAAGGCACUUUGUACGAGCUCCAAAGCCAUAGGACUUUUCAUCUUCCAGAGCCUGUACGAGUCACUUCUCUGUCCACAGUCUGGAGCCGUUACGGCCAUUUCACCCAGCUUCUCAUUAUCCUCCAAAGACAGCCAGCUGAGCAGCUGGACCACUUGGUAUUCGUGAACACUACAGGACAUGAAACCGAAGCCCCUGAGGCUGCUCCCCUCCCUCCUGUACAGGAAGGAGGGUCUGAAAUGGCCAGGACCUCACAUGUUGCCAGAAAGAGCCACUCAUGUGGCCACACAGUGAGUCCCUGCUACACUACCCGGCUUCAAUUUUCUGUCUGUUAUCAGGGCAGGGGGGCUGUGCUUCUCUUCUAGCUAUUAGCUGUUAAAGGCAAGGGUCCUGCAGUAUUUCCAAAAUGAAGGCAUUAGCAAAUGGAAAAGCACGGUCCAUUUGGCUCCCUGGUCUAUUCACAUUGGUACUAGGGUGACCUUUCACCCGUGGGAUAGCUGCUAAAGGGAGCAAUUCAGAGACAUGGAGCUUCUGGUUUGUUAUGGGUUUGUUUUGGUUUGUUGUUUUUUUGUUGUUGUUGUUUUAAUUUUUUUUUUUUACUCCUGCCUCCACACAUGUUCUUUCCUGAUCCUGAUUCUUGUCCCUGAAUUAAAAUAACUGACGUAUGACAGCAU